GCACUGCGGAGGAGUCCCACAAUAGGACGAAACGCCGUCCAGUGC
rfam:Schistosoma haematobium scaffold687_33, whole genome shotgun sequence.